AUUGAACGCUGGCGGCAUGCUUUACACAUGCAAGUCGAGCGGCAGCGCGGGGGCAACCCUGGCGGCGAGCGGCGAACGGGUGAGUAACGCAUCGGAACGUAUCCUGUAGUGGGGAAUAACUCAUCGAAAGGUGAGCUAAUACCGCAUAAGCUCUGAGGAGGAAAGCGGGGGACCGAAAGGCCUCGCGCUGCAGGAGCGGCCGAUGUCCGAUUAGCUAGUUGGUGAGGUAAAGGCUCACCAAGGCGACGAUCGGUAGCUGGUCUGAGAGGAUGAUCAGCCACACUGGGACUGAGACACGGCCCAGACUCCUACGGGAGGCAGCAGUGGGGAAUUUUGGACAAUGGGGGAAACCCUGAUCCAGCCAUGCCGCGUGAGUGAAGAAGGCCUCGGGUUGUAAAGGCUCUUUCGGUACGGAACGGAAAUUAGCUUGGACGUAAUACUACUGUAGUAGAUGACGGUACGUACGAAUAAGCACCGGCUAACUACGU
rnacentral:rRNA from 1 species